AUUGAACGCUGGCGGCAUGCCUUACACAUGCAAGUCGAACGGCAGCAUGAUCUAGCUUGCUAGAUUGAUGGCGAGUGGCGAACGGGUGAGUAAUACAUCGGAACGUGCCCUGUAGUGGGGGAUAACUAGUCGAAAGAUUAGCUAAUACCGCAUACGACCUGAGGGUGAAAGUGGGGGACCGCAAGGCCUCAUGCUAUAGGAGCGGCCGAUGUCUGAUUAGCUAGUUGGUGAGGUAAAGGCUCACCAAGGCGACGAUCAGUCGCUGGACUGAGAGGACGAUCAGACACACUGGGACUGAGACACGGCACAGACUCCUAAGGGAGGCGGCAGUGGGGAAUUUUGGAAAAUGGGAGCAACCCUGAUCCAGCAAUGCCGCGUGUGUGAAGAAGGCCUUCGGGUUGUAAGAACUUUUGUCCGGAAAGAAAUCGCACUUACUAAUAUUAGGUGUGGAUGACGGUACCGGAAGAAUAAGGACCGGCUAACUACGUGCCAGCCGCCGCCGCAACAC
rnacentral:rRNA from 1 species